rnacentral:rRNA from 1 species
UACGGAGGGUGCAAGCGUUAUCCGGAUUCACUGGGGUUAAAGGGUGCGUAGGUGGGCACGUAAGUCAGUGGUGAAAUCUCCGGGCUUAACCCGGAAACUGCCAUUGAUACUAUUUGUCUUGAAUACUGUGGAGGUCAGCGGAAUAUGUCAUGUAGCGGUGAAAUGCUUAGAUAUGACAUAGAACACCAAUUGCGAAGGCAGCUGGCUACACAAAUAUUGACACUGAGGCACGAAAGCGUGGGGAUCAAACAGG